rnacentral:rRNA from 1 species
GAUGAAUGCUGGCGGCGUGCCUAACACAUGCAAGUCGAGCGGCAGCGCGAGUAGUUUACUACUUGGCGGCGAGCGGCGGACGGCUGAGUAACGCGUGGGAACGUGCCCCAAAGUGAGGGAUAACGACCCGAAAGGUGUGCUAAUACCGCAUAUGAUCUUCGGAUUAAAGAAUUUAUUCGCUUUGGGAGCGGCCCGCGUCGGAUUAGGUAGUUGGUAGGGUAAUGGCCUACCAAGCCGACGAUCCGUAGCUGGUCUGGGAGGAUGACCAGCCAGACUGGAACUGAGACACGGUCCAGACUCCUACGGGAGGCAGCAGUGAGGAAUCUUCCACAAUGGGCGAAAGCCUGAUGGAGCAACGCCGCGUGCAGGAUGAAGGCCUUCGGGUUGUAAACUGCUUUUAUAAGUGAAGAAUAUGACGGUAACUUAUGAAUAAGCACCGGCUAACUACGUGCCAGCCGCCGCGGUAA